UGUUAUUGAGAGAUGUUAUCCUUACUUUGGGGAGUUUGUUGAGGCAAACGACCUACAUGACUGGGUUUCGAGGGUCAUCCUUUACGUGGAAAAGAUGAUGAGUCUUUAAAAAGCUAGACCAAGCACUCAGUAAUGCUACUUAGAUUCGAACCUUCCAUGUAACAACCCGAUAGUUACGAGUGUCGGAAAGUGUACUUUUGGGUCUCCUUUUUGUAAAAUGGAUUUGUAAAUAUUUAUUAAAAAUAUUUACGAAGUUAGUUGUGUGAUUAAUUAGGUUUUGGCUAGGUGAGUUAGCUUGAAUUAAGGGUUGUAACAGGCCCAUUUCGCCUGGGCUUACACCAAAACCAAAACCAAAAAAAUAAAACAAAAAUAAUAAAACCAAAAUAAUUUAAAGGUCCAGAGUCCAUUUACACCCACAUUUUAAUAGCCCAAAACAAAAACAAAACAUCAAUCUAGCUUACAAAACAAUGACCCAAAUUAAACCCAAAGUCCCAAAACCAGACCUAGCCCAGAAGAAAUACAAAGCCUAAAUGGCCUAGGACAUUUGUGAGCAGAAACCCUAAGGGUUCAUUUCCCUUUGCAUCGCAGCUUGUUAGGUUGGAAAAGGCCUCCAAGCCCACGAACGGCCCCUCCUUUCGUAUGACCAUCACCACAAUGGAACCUGCGAGAAGAAAUAACAGAAACAAUAUCAAAAGCCAGCAAAUGACAGCAAGAAAAUAGAAUUUUAUUUUUCUUUUAUUUAUGUUAUAAAUCGGCUAUAAAAAGCCAUCAUUUGUACUGUAAAUGGAUUACGGAUGCUUGAUACAAAGAAAAAGCAAUCAAAAAUAAUUGAAAAGGUGAUUUUAAAUUCCUUAUAAUUUCUUUCUUUUCAAUUGGUUUUUCCUUUCGAGUGUUGCAUGUGGGUUCUUAACAAUAGAGUCCAAAAAAAAAAGGGAUUUACCUUAACGAUCGAAGUCCAUCUUCUUCAUCGCAAUCGAAGUAAAGAUGGAAUGUCGUCGCAAUCAGGGCUCGUUCCUACAAGACACCUCUGAGUGUCACUGACCAUUGCUUACAGUGGUGUAAGAGCGUUCGGAUUUUGGAGUGUUAAUCGGCCGAAUAGUGAAAGGUGAAAUUUCCUUUGUUUUUGAAGUGGCUAGGGUUUGGUCUUUGAAGAUCGGUUAAAGAAGGGGAAAAUUAGGGAUUUGCUUUGAUUGUUUAAAGAAAAUGGCAGAUUGCGAUCCAAUUUCUUUUAGUUUUAAUGUUAAACAACGACGCCGUUUGGUAAAACAAGAAAGCCCGCGCGUUGACCCGAUUUGUAAGCUGGAUAUGCGCAUUUUUACCUUAAAUGGGAAAUUUACGUGGCCAGUCCCUCCCAUUUGCGUCACCCUUAAUUUAAUCCUAUCCUAUUUCUUUCAUUUCUGCCCUGAAGUUUGCGCGCCAUUCCAAUUCACUCCGCGCCUAAGUGGUUUUUUUUGGGGGUUGAGAGCAUUUGCACUUUUAGCCCUUGUGCAUUCACGCGCAUUGCAUUUUAGUCCUUAUGACAAUUUCAUUGAUUUAUUUUAUUUAUUAAUUAUCUCUGUUAGUUUAAUUUUAUUUCAAUUAAGUUUUUUUUUCAUUUCAAUUUGU
rnacentral:lncRNA from 1 species